UAACAGUAUAAAGUACGAAACAAUACAUCAACUCAAUAGCAAAGGAACAUAGUGAAAAUUAGAAUUAUAACAUAGUGGACAUAGUAAAAAUGUUUCUUACAUAUCAAAACUUUCUCACAACUCAAAAAAAUGAGUCAAGAAACACUAUCUCACAAUAAACUAGUACUCCUCUAAUAUACUAAGAUUGGCCUAAGUUAUGAUUAUCUAUAAUUAAGAGCCAAUACAUGUUCUUAACACAACUAUACAAAAGGGAAUUGUCAAUCUUUGGUUAAGGAUUCAUGUCAAGAAUCAAAAGGUGAAGAAUCCUUUGAGAACAUGAAGUCAGAACAGCUAGUUUCCACCAUUGACAAUGAAGAAGUAAAUCCAAGCAUAGAAGUUCCCAAAUUAAACUCCAAAAGAUUAUCCUCCAAUUGGUGACCCCCUAUAACAAUUGAUGCCUUUUGGUUAGCCCCUCCAUCCAAGAAUCCCAAACACAUCACUUCAUCACUCACUUUCACCAUUGAAUUACUCUCAUAAAUCCUCCACUUAACCAUCUCACUUUGCAACACAAGAUCAACACUUGGCACAUUUAGUCCCUCCUCUAGUUUUGUGCUAAAGCAAAGCCCAAAUGGUGCUAUAGGUUCUACUUUAGUCAAUCCCAUGGAAAAACCAAAUCUUUCAUAAGCUUCAACAAAUGUCUUGUAAAUUGAGGUCUUCAUAGUUGUAAAAGGGGAAAUGGUACUAAUUCUUGUCCCUCCUUGACCUUCCCCAUCCAUGGUAAGCAAAGUUGUGUUCAAAGAUAGUUUCUUUCCAUUAAUUUUGAGGGAUUUAACAUUUAUGUAAUACUCUUCUGAAACCCCAUUUCUAGAUGAAAUCAAAGGUGUAUAAAGCAUGGAUCUUGAAACAUCAUGGCUCAAAAGUGACAAAUAAGGACUUUCACCAGAAAUUAUAGCACCAUUUGAAGAAGACAAACAAAUAGCAAAUUUCCUUUGAAAACCAAAUGUAUCAGACAACUGAGAUGGCAAUGCAAUUCUUGAAUUUCCUAGCCCCAACAUACCUUUAGCACCUCUAGCAAGUCCUUGUAACAGAGUAGAUGAUGUACAAGAAAACAAGAACUGAUGAAUUGAAGCAACUGAGCCCGUUUUCAACUCAUCAAUAAACUCCACAGCAAACAUAUCCUCUGCUAAUUCCCCUGUUGCAGCUAAUCUUGUAAAGGGGUUUUCUGAUUUCAAACCACAGAUCUUGUUGUCAUUAGUACAACCAUUAGGCUUAGCCAUGGAACAUUUGAGUGAAUUACAAGGUACAAGUUUUUGACUUGAAGAAUCAGAAGUCAACCCACAAUCAGCCCAUAGAAAUGAACCUUCAAGAUCUACAACUAAUUUGAUGGGAGCACGAUGAGUAGCACCCAUGUAGAGUUGAGUAACAUAUUGAAAAGUAGAUGGAUCUUUGUUUACAGGGAGAAUAAUGGCUUUUGGUAAAAAGGGUCCAUGAGAAACACAGAAUGAAACCAAGAAAAAGAAAGGGAAGAGAGGAAGGAAUUGAACUAGUGAAGCCAUUUUUUGAGUUUCAAGAUUCAAGAAAGAGUGUUAAAGAGAAAAACCCUAUAAAAACAUGUGCAGUUUUG
rnacentral:misc_RNA from 1 species